rnacentral:rRNA from 1 species
AUGACCCCAAGCCGUCUGAUCUGGACCGAGCCAAAGCGUGGCCCGAGUCUGGCCGUCGCCGUCAUCUCCAAGCCAUGGCGCUGCCACCGGCCUCUCUCUCGACGUCAUGCCAUGCCACAUCCCGCAAACCCGCCUGCCUCCUUGACCUCCAGGCCACCCCGUCGCGCCCUUCUCGUUGCUGAGGCCGCCACCGGCGCCCCAAGCGCCUGCCUCUGCCAUGGCCUUCCUCCUCUCGUGCCUGCAGCGAUGCUGCCCUGCUGCAGCUGCUCUUCCUGCGCGUCACCUUCCUCGCUGAGCCCCGUGGCGUGGCCCUUCUCCGGCAACUAG